rnacentral:rRNA from 1 species
AGUGAACGCUGGCGGUAGGCCUAACACAUGCAAGUCGAACGGCAGCACAGUAAGAGCUUGCUCUUACGGGUGGCGAGUGGCGGACGGGUGAGGAAUACAUCGGAAUCUACUUUUUCGUGGGGGAUAACGUAGGGAAACUUACGCUAAUACCGCAUACGACCUACGGGUGAAAGCAGGGGAUCUUCGGACCUUGCGCGAUUGAAUGAGCCGAUGUCGGAUUAGCUAGUUGGCGGGGGAAAGGCCCACCAAGGCGACGAUCCGUAGCUGGUCUGAGAGGAUGAUCAGCCACACUGGAACUGAGACACGGUCCAGACUCCUACGGGAGGCAGCAGUGGGGAAUAUUGGACAAUGGGCGCAAGCCGGAUCCAGCCAUACCGCGUGGGUGAAGAAGGCCUUCGGGUUGUAAAGCCCUUUUGUUGGGAAAGAAAAGCAGCAGGUUAAUACCCCGCUGUUCUGACGGUACCCAAAGAAUAAGCACCGGCUAACUUCGUG